ensembl:lncRNA
GAUGGAUUCAAAUACAAAAGGAACCGAACUGGAGAUGUGCUCUUCUGUGGAACAGUGAGACAAAUGAAUAAAGCUACAGCAAUAUUUACAAAGAAAGGGCAUGUGAUGACCUCAUGAACCACCCUUUAGACUUCAGUGCUUCUGGCUUUAAUAUUCUGUGCUAGAUUCACAGAGCUCUUCUACAGAUGCUAAGCGUUCAAUCCUGAAGGCUCCACUUCAUCAUCAGGAGUUUUUAAAGCUUCUUUCUAGAUUCUUAAGUGCAGCACAACAGAGAGAAAGUGGCUGUUUGGUCUUUACUGGAGUCUCUCAGGAAAAUACAGCAGAAGGCCACAGAGCUGGAAAUAUCUGCAUGUACUUCAAGUGACUUAACUGGAAAAGAAUGCUGCUGGGAUAUAUAUGGAGCAGCAGCACAGAGGAGCUCCUCAACUGCCCCUCAUCACCAUAUGAAAGAGGACAGAAUGUAUGUGCCUACUGUACUGAUCAGUGCAAUGCACAGACGGAAGGACUGGGACUCAGUUUGCUGUGGUGUGUCAUGAUUCUCAGAUCACAGAUCGACACUGCCUGUGAUUUCCUGGUGAUGAAGUUCACAGUGGCUGCAAGUCCCAGGCAUGUAUCAUACAAGCAUUAGGAGAGAACGGUUCUUGGACCUUGUAUCCACAUUAUAGAAGAGUCUAUAAGCUCCCUUUGAGCACUCCUUCUUCUAUGGCUCCACCCAGAAAGAAGAUGACCUGCACAAAUCCACAGUACACAUCUGUGUUUGCUUCAUAAACACAGCAAACACAUUUCAAUGAUCCCUAAUCAAUCUUGUUUCAGAAGUUGUUUUAUGAUACAGUAUAUGAUCAUAAUUAUGAAGUGCAUAACUGACACAUGUAUUGAUUAAAAUCUCAAAAAUGAAAAUAUCACCUUUGUGUUAAGCCUACGAUGGUACCAAGCUAAAGGCCAUAUCUCUUUUCAAAUACUACAAAGCAACAUGUAUUUUAGGACGUAGGCUUUAUAUAUUAAAUUUACUGUGU